rnacentral:rRNA from 1 species
GACGAACCGUGCGAACGUUGUUCGGAAUCACUGGGCCUAAAGGGCGCGUAGGCGGCUUUUCAAGUCAGGGGUGAAAUCCGGCAGCUCAACUGUCGAAGUGCCCUUGAUACUGAUGAGCUCGAGGGAGGUAGGGGUGUGUGGAACUUCCGGUGGAGCGGUGAAAUGCGUUGAUAUCGGAAGGAACGCCGGUGGCGAAAGCGACGCACUGGACCUCUUCUGACGCUGAGGCGCGAAAGCGUGGGGAGCGAACAGG